rnacentral:rRNA from 1 species
GGUAAUGCCGGAUGCUCCGACUCCUCGCAUGGGGUGUCGGGAAAGAUUUCAUCGGUAUGGGAUGGGGUCGCGUCCUAUCAGGUAGUCGGCGGGGUAACGGCCCACCGAGCCUACGACGGGUAGCCGGCCUGAGAGGGCGACCGGCCACAUUGGGACUGAGAUACGGCCCAGACUCCUACGGGAGGCAGCAGUGGGGAAUAUUGCACAAUGGGCGCAAGCCUGAUGCAGCGACGCCGCGUGCGGGAUGACGGCCUUCGGGUUGUAAACCGCUUUUGAUCGGGAGCAAGCCUUCGGGUGAGUGUACCUUUCGAAUAAGCACCGGCUAACUACGUGCCAGCAGCCGCGGUAAUACGUAGGGUGCAAGCGUUAUCCGGAAUUAUUGGGCGUAAAGGGCUCGUAGGCGGUUCGUCGCGUCCGGUGUGAAAGUCCAUCGCUUAACGGUGGAUCUGCGCCGGGUACGGGCGGGCUGGAGUGCGGUAGGGGAGACUGGAAUUCCCGGUGUAACGGUGGAAUGUGUAGAUAUCGGAAAAAAAA